CUACACGGGUUUCUAAUCCUGUUUGCUCCCCACGCUUUCGCACCUCAGCGUCAAUAUUGGCCCAGGUCGCCGCCUUCGCCACUGGUGUUCCUCCCGAUAUCUACGAAUUUCACCUCUACACCGGGAAUUCCGCGACCCUCUUCCAUAUUCAAGCUCGCCAGUUUCGAGUGCACUUCCUGGGUUGAGCCCAGGGCUUUCACACCCGACUUAACAAGCCGCCUACGUGCGCUUUACGCCCAAUGAUUCCGAGCAACGUUUGCACCCUCCGUAUUACCGCGGCUGCUGGCAC
rnacentral:rRNA from 1 species